rnacentral:rRNA from 1 species
UACGUAGGGUGCAAGCGUUAAUCGGAAUUACUGGGCGUAAAGCGUGCGCAGGCGGUUAUGUAAGACAGAUGUGAAAUGCCCGGGCUUAACCUGGGAAUGGCAUUUGGGACUGCAAGGCUUGAGUGCGGCAGAGGAGACUGGAAUUCCUGGUGUAGCAGUGAAAUGCGUAGAUAUCAGGAGGAAUACCGAUGGCGAAGGCAGGUCUCUGGGCUGACACUGACGCUCAUGCACGAAAGCGUGGGGAGCGAACAGG